rnacentral:misc_RNA from 1 species
GAGAGACGCUUUGAAGAAAUUGCAUAUCGUCUUGGUACCCUGAAAAUUAAUACCAACAGGGAUCGGAAUGAUGAUAAAAGGCCAAGAGAUGGUGCAACUCAUGGUAACUCUAUCAAUAGAUCUUUUCCUGCAUGUAGGCAACAUGUCUACUAUUAAGAUUUAGAUGAGGAAGAUAAUUACGAAUCAAUCAAGUUCAAUAGGCAU